rnacentral:rRNA from 1 species
AUGCCUGUACCAUAACCGACACAGGUGGGUAGGUAGAGUAUACUAAGGGGCGCGAGAUAACUCUCUCUAAGGAACUCGGCAAAAUGACUCCGUAACUUCGGGAGAAGGAGUGCCUUAUUUAUAAGGUUGCAAUAACAAGAUCCAAGCAACUGUUUAUCAAAAACGCAGGUCUCCGCUAAGUCGUAAGACGAUGUAUGGGGGCUGACGCCUGCCCAGUGCCAGAAGGUUAAAGAAGUUGGUUAGUGUAUGCGAAGCUGAUGACUGAAGCCCUGGUGAACGGCGGCCGUAACUAUAACGGUCCUAAGGUAGCGAAAUUCCUUGUCGGGUAAGUUCCGACCCGCACGAAAGGCGUAAUGAUUUGGAUACUGUCUCGGAGAGAGGCUCGGUGAAAUAGACUUGUCUGUGAAGAUGCGGACUACCUGCACCAGGACAGAAAGACCCUAUGAAGCUUUACUGUAACUUGAAAUUGGAAUUGGACUUUGCUUGCGCAGUAUAGGUGGGAAGCGUUGAAGAUAUUCUUGCGGGAGUAUUGGAGCUAUCAGUGAGAUACCACUCUUGUAAUGUUAGAUUUCUAACUUUGAACCAUAAUCUGGUCAAAGAACAGUUUCAGGUGGGCAGUUUGACUGGGGCGGUCGCCUCCCAAAUGGUAACGGAGGCGUACAAAGGUUUCCUCUGAACGGAUAGAAAUCGUAUCUAGAGUGUAAAGGCAUAAGGAAGCUUGACUGUGAGACCUACAAGUCGAGCAGGGACGAAAGUCGGUCUUAGUGAUCUGACGGUACUGAGUGGAAAGGCCGUCACUCAACGGAUAAAAGUUACUCUAGGAUAACAGGCUGAUCUCCCCCAAGAGUUCACAUCGACGGGGAGGUUUGGCACCUCGAUGUCGGCUCAUCGCAUCCUGGGGCGGUAGUACGUCCCAAGGGUUGGGCUGUUCGCCCAUGAAAGCGGUACGCGAGCUGGGUUCAGAACGUCGUGAGACAGUUCGGUCCAUAUCCGGUGUAGGCGUUAGAAUAUUGAGAGGAGCCUUCUUUAGUACGAGAGGACCGAGAAGGACACACCGCUGGUGUACCAGUUAUCGUGCCAACGGUAAACGCUGGGUAGCUAUGUGUGGAGUGGAUAACCGCUGAAAGCAUCUAAGUGGGAAGCCCACCUCAAGAUGAGUGCUCUCACAGGGUUAACCUGGUAAGGUCACGGGAAGACCACCCGUUAAUAGGCACUAGGUGGAAGUCCAGUAAUGGA